rnacentral:rRNA from 1 species
AAACCGGUUGAUCCUGCCGGACCCGACCGCUAUCGGGGUGGGGCUAAGCCAUGCGAGUCGUACGCCUGGGGACCGCCAGGCGUGGCGCACGGCUCAGUAACACGUGCCUAACCUACCCUCGGGAGGGGGACAACCCCGGGAAACUGGGGCCAAUCCCCCAUAGGAGAAGGGUGCUGGAAAGCCCCUUCUCCGAAAGGGACUGCGGCCGAUCCGCCGCAGUCCGCCCGAGGAUGGGGGCACGGCCCAUCAUGGUAGUUGGCGGGGUAAUGGCCCGCCAAGCCGAAGACGGGUGGGGGCCGUGAGAGCGGGAGCCCCGAGAUGGGCACUGAGACAAGGGCCCAGGCCCUACGGGGUGCAGCAGGCGCGAAAACUCCGCAAUGCGGGAAACCGUGACGGGGCCACCCCGAGUGCCGCCCGAAGAGGGCGGCUUUUGCCCGGUGCAAAAAGCCGGGCGAAUAAGCGGGGGGCAAGUCUGGUGUCAGCCGCCGCGGUAAUACCAGCUCCGCGAGUGGUCGGGGUGCUUACUGGGCCUAAAGCGCCCGUAGCCGGCCCGGUAAGUCGUCCCUGAAAUCCACGGGCUCAACCCGUGGGCUGGGGACGAUACUGCCGGGCUUGGGGGCGGGAGAGGCCGAGGGUACUCCCGGGGUAGGGGCGAAAUCCGAUAAUCCCGGGAGGACCACCAGUGGCGAAGGCGCUCGGCUGGAACGCGCCCGACGGUGAGGGGCGAAAGCUGGGGGAGCAAAGGGGAUUAGAUACCCCUGUAGUCCCAGCUGUAAACGAUGCGGGCUAGCUGUUGGGCGGGCUUAGAGCCCGCCCAGUGGCGGAGGGAAGCCGUUAAGCCCGCCGCCUGGGGAGUACGGCCGCAAGGCUGAAACUUAAAGGAAUUGGCGGGGGGGCACCACAAGGGGUGAAGCUUGCGGCUUAAUUGGAGUCAACGCCGGAAACCUUACCC